UACGAAGGGGGCUAGCGUUGCUCGGAAUCACUGGGCGUAAAGGGCGCGUAGGCGGCGUUUUAAGUCGGGGGUGAAAGCCUGUGGCUCAACCACAGAAUGGCCUUCGAUACUGGGACGCUUGAGUAUGGUAGAGAUUGGUGGAACUGCGAGUGUAGAGGUGAAAUUCGUAGAUAUUCGCAAGAACACCGGUGGCGAAGGCGGCCAACUGGACCAUUACUGACGCUGAGGCGCGAAAGCGUGGGGAGCAAACAGG
rnacentral:rRNA from 1 species